AACGGACAGGAGGUAGGUCUCUUUUCGAGAAGCUGGGACAGCAGGAGGAAGGGAAACAGCAGCAAACAGGACCAGGCAAAACCAGAGGGAGCCACUGUCUCCCACCAGUUAAGGAGGAAGAGAAGUGGGCAGGGUCAUGUGAGAAGUCCCACAGGAAGAUGACUGAUCAGUGGACAUGAGGAGCCAUUGACAUCUAGUUCAGGAGUGUUUGGUAAAUGAGCAGAAGUGAAAGCCAGAAUCUAGUGACUCCAGGAACAAGUGGGAGAUGAGGAAGAGAAGAAAGAAAAUUCAAUUUCUGGAGGAAAGCUUUGUUUAAAAAAUAUUCUCAGCUUCUUGAUAAAAAUGCAAUCAUAAAAGAACUGAAUUACACUGAGUUGGAGUGUACAAAACAGCAUUC